GUAGGUGGCAAGCGUUGUCCGGAAUUAUUGGGCGUAAAGCGCGCGCAGGUGGUUCUUUAAGUCUGAUGUGAAAGCCCCCGGCUCAACCGGAGAGGGUCAUUGGAAACUGGGGAACUUGAGUGCAGGAGAGGAAAGUGGAAUUCCACGUGUAGCGGUGAAAUGCGUAGAUAUGUGGAGGAACACCAGUGGCGAAGGCGACUUUCUGGCCUGUAACUGACACUGAGGCGCGAAAGCGUGGGGAGCAAACAGGGAUUAGAUACCCUGGUAGUCCACGCCGUAAACGAUGAGUGCUAAGUGUUGGGGGGGUUUCCCGCCCCUCAGUGCUGCAGCUAACGCAUUAAGCACUCCGCCUGGGGAGUACGGUCGCAAGACUG
rnacentral:rRNA from 1 species